AUUCCAUUUAUUUAUAAGUCGCUCUGGAUAAGAGCGUCUGCUAAAUGACUUAAA
rfam:Salmo salar isolate Sally breed double haploid chromosome ssa28, whole genome shotgun sequence.